UAAAUUAUUUAAAACUUUCAACAACGGAUCUCUUGGUUCCGGCAUCGAUGAAGAACGCAGCGAAAUGCGAUACGUAAUGUGAAUUGCAGAAUUCAGUGAAUCAUCGAGUCUUUGAACGCACAUUGCGCCCUCUGGUAUUCCGGAGGGCAUGCCUGUCCGAGCGUCAUU
rnacentral:rRNA from 1 species